GACGAACGCUGGCGGCGUGCUUAACACAUGCAAGUCGAACGGAAAGGCCCUGCUUGCUGGGUACUCGAGUGGCGAGCGGGUGAGUAACACGUGGGUGAUCUGCCCUGCACUUCGGGAUAAGCCUGGGAAACUGGGUCUAAUACCGGAUAGGAGCCAUUUUUAGUGUGAUGGUUGGAAAGUUUUUUCGGUGUAGGAUGAGCUCGCGGCCUAUCAGCUUGUUGGUGGGGUAAUGGCCUACCAAGGCGGCGACGGGUAGCCGGCCUGAGAGGGUGGACGGCCACGUUGGGACUGAGAUACGGCCCAGACUCCUACGGGAGGCAGCAGUGGGGAGUAUUGCACAAUGGGCGCAAGCCUGAUGCAGCGACGCCGCGUGGGGGAUGACGGCCUUCGGGUUGUAAACUCCUUUCGCUAGGGACGAAGCUGUUUGUGACGGUACCUAGAUAAGAAGCACCGGCUAACUACGUG
rnacentral:rRNA from 1 species